rnacentral:tRNA from 1 species
GCCUGGGUGGCUUGGUUGGUUAAGCAUCUGACUUCGGCUCAGGUCAUGAUCUCACGGUCCGUGGGUUCGAGCCCCGCAUCAGGCU